rfam:Triticum aestivum genome assembly, contig: Triticum_aestivum_CS42_TGACv1_scaffold_050176_1BS
CAACUACUCCCUCUGUCCGGAAAUACUUGUCAUAAAAAUGAAUAAAAGGAGAUGUAUCUAGAUGAAUUUUAGUUCUAAAUACAUCCCUUUUUAUCCAUUUUGAUGACAAGUAUUUUCGGACGGAGGGAGUACAGG